CACCACGUCAAGGCUGGCUCUGAGAAGGCUGAUCCAUCCCAUUUCGAGCUCCUCAAGGUUCUGGGCCAGGGAUCCUUUGGCAAAGUCUUCCUGGUGCGGAAAGUCACCCGGCCUGACAGUGGGCACCUGUAUGCUAUGAAGGUGCUGAAGAAGGCAACGCUGAAAGGUGAGUGGGGACACCUCCCUGUGCAGAACCCAGGCUUGGCUGAGGGAGGCAGCCCAGACUUCAAGGGCCUUGGGUCUGGCAAGGGAGACAGCUCUGUCUUCAGGAGCACCUAGUUCAAAGGUGGAGAAACAGGCCUAUUUCUCAGCUAUCCCUCGCCAGCCAAUCCUCCUCCCCCUAAGCCAAGUGCUAGUGACUGGCUGUGAAGGUCUGGAAGGUGGUAAUAGGGUAAAUGCAAUGUGUUUGUCAGGGGGCGGGGCCCUCAACUACCAAGCUGGUCAAGCAGAGGCAUUCUGACUGUUGAUGCUAGAAGAGUCUGGGGG
rnacentral:lncRNA from 1 species